UAGGNCUUCCGCAUGGANGAAGUCUGACGGAGCACGCCGCGUGAGUGAUGAAGGCUUUCGGGUCGUAAAACUCUGUUGUUAGGGAAGAACAAGUGCUAGUUGAAUAAGCUGGCACCUUGACGGUACCUAACCAGAAAGCCACGGCUAACUACGUGCCAGCAGCCGCGGUAAUACGUAGGUGGCAAGCGUUAUCCGGAAUUAUUGGGCGUAAAGCGCGCGCAGGUGGUUUCUUAAGUCUGAUGUGAAAGCCCACGGCUCAACCGUGGAGGGUCAUUGGAAACUGGGAGACUUGAGUGCAGAAGAGGAAAGUGGAAUUCCAUGUGUAGCGGUGAAAUGCGUAGAGAUAUGGAGGAACACCAGUGGCGAAGGCGACUUUCUGGUCUGUAACUGACACUGAGGCGCGAAAGCGUGGGGAGCAACAGGAUUAGAUACCCUGGUAGUCCNCNCCGUAAACGAUGAGUGCUAAGUGUUA
rnacentral:rRNA from 1 species